rnacentral:rRNA from 1 species
AGGGUUUGAUCAUGGCUCAGAGCGAACGCUGGCGGCAGGCUUAACACAUGCAAGUCGAGCGGGCGUAGCAAUACGUCAGCGGCAGACGGGUGAGUAACGCGUGGGAACGUACCUUUUGGUUCGGAACAACACAGGGAAACUUGUGCUAAUACCGGAUAAGCCCUUACGGGGAAAGAUUUAUCGCCGAAAGAUCGGCCCGCGUCUGAUUAGCUAGUUGGUGAGGUAACGGCUCACCAAGGCGACGAUCAGUAGCUGGUCUGAGAGGAUGAUCAGCCACAUUGGGACUGAGACACGGCCCAAACUCCUACGGGAGGCAGCAGUGGGGAAUAUUGGACAAUGGGCGCAAGCCUGAUCCAGCCAUGCCGCGUGAGUGAUGAAGGCCCUAGGGUUGUAAAGCUCUUUUGUGCGGGAAGAUAAUGACGGUACCGCAAGAAUAAGCCCCGGCUAACUUCGUGCCAGCAGCCGCGGUAAUACG